GAUCAUUUAUUUUUAUGGUCAAAAUGUUUGUACAGUAGCAAAACAGCUUAGUGUAUCUCUGCAAUGAAAGAGUGCCCCAUUCUGCAGCUGCUCUGCCUUUCUUUAGUUGAGGCUUCGUGCAGAGUGGGUGCUUCAGAAACUUGGCAAACUGUUAGAUCAGCCAUGCACUAGCCUGCACUGCUUUCCCUGAUGUGUGAGUAUGCUGUGCCCACAACAAGAAUACCUUGGGAAGCUCAUCCCAGAAUUGCUCACUAACAUAUCAGGUAAACCUUGGGGGGAAAAAGAGAUUCUGCAAUUUCCCUUGAAUGAGAGAACACACAGAUACAAAAGUACAAUUUAAGAGCUUCCUCAACAAUGCUAUUAAUGUGCCGGUGAUGUUAAUUUUUGUGUUAUAUAGGAAUGUUUCAUUGAACGUAAGGAAAACCAGCAAGUAAUGACAUUUUAUACCAACAGGUGCUUGGGGUGGUCAGUGAUGGAUCCUAUUGGAAUCUUCAGUGGCCUUUAGUGUUGCCUGUGAAUAUUCAUUCGCUGCAUCUGAGUCCAGUAAAUAAUGUAUCUUAAGAAACAAUAAGAUCUCCAUCUGCUUCCUCUAGUACACUUCCACCAAAGUGCUAGGAGAGCAUAAGGAAAAGUACAGAAAAAAGAGGAAUUUUUCUUGCAGAUCUCCUCAGCAUGAGAUUCUGUGACCUAGGGCAGUAGCACAGAGUUGAAGUCAGGAGGUUUUCGUGAGGACCCAGAAUCUGAGCAACAUCUAGACAGGACACCUAGAAAAAGGAAACCUUGAUGUGAACACCACCUACGCCAGUGGCAAACGAUGGUCCCUCAUAUUGUUCAUAAGAAGAAAGUGAGGCUUUGGUGCCAUGAAUCCACCCACUGAGAAGAGUCCCACUACUGCAGGAGGACUAUAGCACAGGCAGAAGUACCAGCUUGGCCCCAGGCGGGUCUCCUAAAUUUCGAUAGUUUUCUGGACCGGAAUCACAACUGCAGCUUGCUGCUGUGAGAAACAACACAUUCUUUUCCUCUACUUCAUUUUUUAAAUAGUUUUGUUCAGAUAUGAAAACUGGGACACAGAGAGGCGAAAUGACGUAACUGCUCUAUACUUGGAGUUCAGCAAGGAAACUGAAAGUCUACCUUUCGUGAAAGAACACGGAAGAGGAAAGAAAUGACAGUAAGACUGAAUUAUGAACUCUUAGAAGUCGAGAACAAGAACUGAUUGUAUUGUGAAAGCUGAAUUCACUACUCGCGAUUAACGCCGGCAAUAGCAGUUGGCGGUGAUCGCAUGCACGAGAUUGCUGAAGCAGAUGGAGCACAUGUAUUACUCACACAGGUUAGGAAAGAAAACAUUUAUUCCAGUUUGCACUGCAAUGUUUAAAGAGCACCACAAACACAACUUUAAAAGCCUGAAUUGCUUGGAAAUUGACACCAGUGGUUCACUGCCUUCUCUGCAGCUCCCCUCAAACUCGAGACAGAGACUGUCUUAUUAUAGAAGUAGGUUUUCUUCUCCUCAGAUCUGGGCACUUCUGGCCCUGAGAUGAGUUGUGUCCCUGUCAUUGCCAUCCUACUAAAACAAAGACACCUCAGUUACUUCUUGGUUAUCUACUUGAGUCAACUAUCACCUCUCCCAGUGUCAUCCUGCUGCAAUCAAGUCUCCCAGAGGUGUUACAGCUCUUAAUUACAUUGUCUUCAGAGUGCUCAGAGGUUCACUGACAGAAGUGAUUUCAGCAUACAAAGCACGGCAGCAACAUAAACUUAUCUAGAUAGUAGAGGUCAGUCCUGUCUGUCUAUGUUAACCUAACAGCCUGUGCUUUUCCUCCUUCCUUCACCAUUUGCCAAAACAGAUACGAUUUGUUUUUUCUUUGAUCCCAUGGAGUUGACAGUGACAGAUUACUUUCAGUUUCUCAUCCUGAGCCUUCCCACUUUCCUGGUGAUUUGACCCGUGACAUUAGGAAGAUCUGUAAUCACAGGCAGCUGCCUCUCUGAAUAAUGUGUAGAUACUGCAGGAUUGGUGGGAUAGGACCACACAAGUCACUGUCUUCCCGUAGAGCAGCUGGGUCCUGCAGAUCAGAGGUGGAAAAUAUCCUUGUGAAACUCAAGGGUUUUACAAAGGUUAAAUUUGUAGGCUCACUUCUCUAAAAUGUCUGUUUUUUUUUUUUUUUUUUAAACAAAGUCAAGAUUUCAGGGUAUUUUGAAUGUACAUAUUAGAGACUCUGAUAGCAGGGACCCUAUUAAACAUGAACACUGAUUUUGCAAUAUUUUAAUAUCCAACUGUGCUACAGGAAUAGAAUUUUUUUUUAUUAUUAUUAUUUUUUUAAUUUUUUUAAAAUUAUUUUAUUAUUAUUAUUAUUAUUAUUUUAAUUCAGUCUUCAACAAAUGGAAAGCCUGUUGAGAGUGGGUUUUGAUUUGUGGAGCUAGGACUACACCCUUCUGGGAUCCAGCAGUUUGGUACCAAACACAUGACCAACUCCAAAAGCAAUAACAGGCUCAACAAUACUCCAAAAACAGUACUCAAUAGUGUAAAACCAAAUGAUAUCUCAUAAAAUCAUAUGAAAUGGAUCUUUAAAGCAAACAGUUAAUAGAAGAUUCAUCAGAGGUGUCUGUGACUUUUAAAGUACAGAGCAUAGCUCCAGAUACAGAGCAAUUCAUGCUGAGAAGGACCUCAGGAGGUCUCUUCUCUGACCUCCACAAAGCAGUGCAAGCUUGGAGAGAAGACGGGGAGGAUCAGGGAUUUUCCAAACCCAUCUCAAAGAACAUCUCAUCCUGGAGAAUGCACAGCCUCCUUGGACAGCUUUCUCUACCGCUUGGAGUCCUCAUGGGGGGAAAAUUUCUCCUUGUAGCUUCAGCAAGCAUAUCUUGUCCUCACACCAUGUCCCAUUGCAAAGGGCAUUUCUCCAUUUCCCUUGUUAGUUACCUGAAUGGUCAGCUUUAUUCAGUCUUACCUGUAAGUUGAUGGGAGAGCGCUCCAGCAGCUCCUCCAGGUCACAGAUAAAGAUGAUAAAGAGGUCGAUUCUCACAAACGGGCAGUCACCACUGAUACUAGUCUUCUAUGUCAGUACCAUUUGUUUGGAGAGUAAAAGCAAACUCCAAGAGAUAGGAGAGUAUGGCAGAUGAGAGAGCUCAUGGACUAAAUCUUGUUAUGUAUGAGGCAUGGUGCUAUUCUGUACUGUAUUAGAGAAAGCUCAUCCACAAGGAUUCACUAUCUAAAUCAGUGAAUCUCUAACCUUUACAGCUGUCAAAACCUGUUCAUUUCUAUAAGACCCUGCUCAGAGUCUAACUAGUCUGAUUAAAAGCAAAGUGGUUGGAUUAUAUAGUUAUAAGCUGUUUCAUGUAAGAAAUAAUAAAUGAUUAAUGGCAUCACA